AAGAGCCCCUGCAUAUCCCAAUCCAACCAGCCAUCACUAACACUCUUGCCAGGCUGACAAGGCAGCCUUUUUCCCCCUGAGCACAACUCUAAUUAACAGCGGUGGAUGUAGAGAGGCCAGGCAAUGUGGAGCUACUAAGAGGGCCUGGGGCACUGGGCAGGUAAUCAGCUUAAAUACAGGUUUAUUUCCUGUCCUCUGCUUCCUGCUGCGUCCAGCAGAGAGUGCAUUCUUUUAUCUGUUUAUCUCCAAUUUUCUCUGACUUGCAUCAUGUCUUUCAGACUCACUGUCACCUCGGCUUAAGUGCUGGGUCUUGGGCAGCCAUCUCCUCUCAUCAGAUGCUUUCAGGAAAUGGGUUUGUGCUUCCUCAGUGGUGGAAUGGACCCACAAUGGGCCAGAACGGCAAGAAUGUGAUGGUGAAGCCUGGCCACUGACAGUCUGCCCCUAGGGGCACAAAUUACCCUGACUGGUACAAAGAAAAGAUGACACACGCAGCCUCAGGCCCCGUCUUCCUGGUCUUCCCGUCUCCAGUACAACCUAGUGAAUCAGACUGCUUCCAAUUAAAGAUUCAGUCUUUUUUUUUUCAAUGUCCACCGUGCUUUGUCUCAUAACACAGACAUGUCUUGUGGCAUUUACAAAGAAUGGAACGAUUGUACAGUAUUGAAUAUACAGGGGCUGGGUUGUCUUGUGUAGCAUUGAGUGAAUAGAUUAGCUGUAGAAUCCCCUCCACUCCAGUGCCCUCCACCCCCACUGCAUCCACAGGCCUAAGUGUGCAAGCCUGUUUCUCAUUAGUAUCCGUCCGUACUGAACUCCCUCGCAAUUUCCUCAUGGAGAAUUAAUGCCUCCUGCUCUUUGAAUAUAUGACUGCUGUCACAGGCUGGUGCAUUUUAUUGUUUUG
ensembl:lncRNA